GGAGCGGUAGCUCAGUUGGUUAGAGCGCUGCCCUGUCACGGCAGAGGUCGCGGGUUCGAGUCCCGUCCGCUCCGCAA
rnacentral:tRNA from 5 species